UACGUAGGUGGCAAGCGUUGUCCGGAGUUACUGGGUGUAAAGGGCGUGUAGGCGGGAAGAUAAGUCAGAUGUGAAAUUCCAUGGCUCAACUGUGGCGCUGCAUCUGAAACUAUUUUUCUUGAGUGAUGGAGAGGAAAGUGGAAUUCCUAGUGUAGCGGUGAAAUGCGUAGAUAUUAGGAGGAACACCAGUGGCGAAGGCGACUUUCUGGACAUUAACUGACGCUGAGGCGCGAAAGCGUGGGGAGCAAACAGG
rnacentral:rRNA from 2 species